UGGGGAAUUUUGCGCAAUGGGGGCAACCCUGACGCAGCAACGCCGCGUGCGGGACGAAGGCCUUCGGGUCGUAAACCGCUUUCAGCAGGGAAGACAGCGACGGUACCUGCAGAAGAAGCCCCGGCUAACUACGUGCCAGCAGCCGCGGUAAUACGUAGGGGGCGAGCGUUAUCCGGAAUCAUUGGGCGUAAAGAGCGCGUAGGCGGCCCCUCAAGCGGGAUCUCUAAUCCGAGGGCUCAACCCCCGGCCGGAUCCCGAACUGGGGGGCUCGGGUGCGGUAGAGGAGGAUGGAAUUCCCGGUGUAGCGGUGGAAUGCGCAGAUAUCGGGAAGAACACCGAUGGCGAAGGCAGUCCUCUGGGCCGCCACCGACGCUGAGGCGCGAAAGCCGGGGGAGCGAACA
rnacentral:rRNA from 1 species